rnacentral:lncRNA from 1 species
AUGAACUUAACUGCUGCACCUCUGGGCUGGCCACUACAAACUAUUUUAAGAGAACAAAAGACGACAGAACAGAAAUACUGGAACAAUAGAGAAUGGCUUCACUCAUCACUAUGUAUAGCACGGACAACAGAGGAGAACCGAAUUAUUGACAAAUGUACCACAUAUUACACGGUCACACUGGAUCCAGAUUCUGGGGAAGAGGUCAACCUGAAAAUGGAAUCAAGUGGCCUUAACUUUGAGUACAGAAAGUUGCAGGGCCUGGGCUCCUGGGGGAUCAUUGGAAUGGUAAUUUCUCUGACACGGACACGCCACUUCAGAAUACUUCCCCAGACUCCCACCAAGUUUCAGAGGUACUGUCCUGCUGCUCCAAAACCACCUGCCUUGGGUUGA